rnacentral:rRNA from 1 species
GACGAACGCUGGCGGCGUGCUUAACACAUGCAAGUCGAACGAGACGAUUGGAAGCUUGCUUUUAAAAGUCGAGUGGCAAACGGGUGAGUAACGCGUAGACAACCUGCCUUUGAGAUGGGGACAACAGUUCGAAAGGACUGCUAAUACCGAAUGUUGUAUAUUUUCCACAUGGAAGACAUAUUAAAGAUGGCCUCUAUUUAUAAGCUAUCGCUCAAAGAUGGGUCUGCGUCUGAUUAGCUGGUUGGUGGGGUAACGGCCUACCAAGGCGACGAUCAGUAGCCGGUCUGAGAGGAUGAACGGCCACAUUGGGACUGAGACACGGCCCAGACUCCUACGGGAGGCAGCAGUGGGGAAUCUUCCACAAUGGACGAAAGUCUGAUGGAGCAACGCCGCGUGAGUGAAGAAGGGUUUCGGCUCGUAAAGCUCUGUUGUCGGGGACGAAUGUGCAGUAUUUGAAUAAAGUACUGUAAUGACGGUACCUGACGAGGAAGCCACGGCUAACUACGUGCCAGCAGCCGCCGUAA